rnacentral:rRNA from 1 species
GACGAACGCUGGCGGCAGGCUUAACACAUGCAAGUCGAACGGAAAGGCCCUGCUUUUUUGGUCUUCUCUGGUGGCGAACGGAUGGGUAAGACGUGAGUAACCUACCCUUGGCUUUGGGGUAACUUCAAGUAACUGGGGCUAAUACCGGAUCGGAACUCCUGCUGCCUGGUGGGGGUUGGAAAGUUUCGGCGGUUGAGGAUGGACUCGCGGCUUAUCAGCUUGUUUGUGGGGGAGUGGCUUACCCAGGCUUUGCCUGGUAUGCGUCAUGAGAGCGGUACCGGCGACAAGGGGACUGAGAUAGGGAGCAGACUGGUAUGGGAGACAGCAGGGGGGAAUAUUGCGCAGCGGUGGGAAGUCUGAUGAAGCAACGCCGCGGGUGUGAUGACGGUCUUCGGGGGGUAAACCGAGUUCGGCUGUGACGAAGCGUGAGUGACGGUAAUGGGUGAAGAAGCACCGGCUAACUACGUG